GACGAACGCUGGCGGCGCGCCUAACACAUGCAAGUCGAACGAGAGAGAAGGAGCUUGCUUCUUCGAUCGAGUGGCGAACGGGUGAGUAACGCGUGAGGAACCUGCCUCAAAGAGGGGGACAACAGUUGGAAACGACUGCUAAUACCGCAUAAGCCCACGGGUCGGCAUCGACCUGAGGGAAAAGGAGCAAUCCGCUUUGAGAUGGCCUCGCGUCCGAUUAGCUAGUUGGUGAGGUAAUGGCCCACCAAGGCAACGAUCGGUAGCCGGACUGAGAGGUUGAACGGCCACAUUGGGACUGAGACACGGCCCAGACUCCUACGGGAGGCAGCAGUGGGGAAUAUUGCACAAUGGGGGAAACCCUGAUGCAGCGACGCCGCGUGGAGGAAGAAGGUCUUCGGAUUGUAAACUCCUGUUGUUGAGGAAGAUAAUGACGGUACUCAACAAGGAAGUGAC
rnacentral:rRNA from 1 species